rnacentral:rRNA from 1 species
UGAAUACGAGACGCUAAGGCGUCGAAGUAGUGUAUGUCAUACUUCCAAGAAAAGCUUGCACUGUCAUAGAUAAAAAACGCCUGUACCAUAACCGACACAGGUGGGUAGGUAGAGUAUACUAAGGGGCGCGAGAUAACUCUCUCUAAGGAACUCGGCAAAAUAACUCCGUAACUUCGGGAGAAGGAGUGCCUUAUUAUUAAGGCUGCAAUAACAAGAUCCAAGCAACUGUUUAUCAAAAACACAGGUCUCCGCUAAGUCGUAAGACGAUGCAUGGGGGCUGACGCCUGCCCAGUGCCAGAAGGUUAAAGAAGUUGGUUAGCAUUUGCGAAGCUGAUAACUGAAGCCCUGGUGAACGGCGGCCGUAACUAUAACGGUCCUAAGGUAGCGAAAUUCCUUGUCGGGUAAGUUCCGACCCGCACGAAAGGCGUAAUGAUUUGGAUACUGUCUCGGAGAGGGGCUCGGUGAAAUAGACUUGUCUGUGAAGAUGCGGACUACCUGCACCAGGACAGAAAGACCCUAUGAAGCUUUACUGUAACUUGAAAUUGAAAUUGGACUUUAUUCGCGCAGCAUAGGUGGGAGGCGUUGAUUAUAAUCUUGUGGGAUUAUUGGAGCCAUCAGUGAGAUACCACUCUUGUAAUGUUAGAUUUCUAACUUUGAAUCAUUAUCUGGUCAAAGAACAGUUUCAGGCGGGCAGUUUGACUGGGGCGGUCGCCUCCUAAACGGUAACGGAGGCGUACAAAGGUUUCCUCUGAACGGUUAGAAAUCGUAUCUAGAGUGUAAAGGCAUAAGGAAGCUUGACUGUGAGACCUACAAGUCGAGCAGGGACGAAAGUCGGUCUUAGUGAUCUGACGGUACUGAGUGGAAAGGCCGUCACUCAACGGAUAAAAGUUACUCUAAGGAUAACAGGCUGAUCUCCCCCAAGAGUUCACAUCGACGGGGAGGUUUGGCACCUCGAUGUCGGCUCAUCGCAUCCUGGGGCGGUAGUACGUCCCAAGGGUUGGGCUGUUCGCCCAUGAAAGCGGUACGCGAGCUGGGUUCAGAACGUCGUGAGACAGUUCGGUCCAUAUCCGGUGUAGGCGUUAGAAUAUUGAGAGGAGCCUUCUUUAGUACGAGAGGACCGAGAAGGACAUACCUCUGGUGUACCAGUUAUCGUGCCAACGGUAAACGCUGGGUAGCUAUGUAUGGAGUGGAUAACCGCUGAAAGCAUCUAAGUGGGAAGCCCACCUCAAGAUAAGUA